rnacentral:rRNA from 1 species
UACAGAGGUGGCAAGCGUUGUUCGGAAUUACUGGGCGUAAAGGGUGCGUAGGCGGCCUUCUAAGUCAGACGUGAAAUCCCCCGGCUUAACCUGGGAACUGCGUCUGAUACUGGGAGGCUUGAGUAUGGGAGAGGGAUGUAGAAUUCCAGGUGUAGCGGUGAAAUGCGUAGAUAUCUGGAGGAAUACCGGUGGCGAAGGCGGCAUCCUGGACCAUAACUGACGCUGAGGCGCGAAAGCUAGGGGAGCAAACGGG